UCCAAAUGAAAUGGUGAACUACCUUUGUCCAAUGCAAUAUCCCAACAAACAAACUAGUUGUCCAAAUGAAAAAACUAUUCCCUUAACUAAUAUUAAAUGUCAAUUCCUUUCUACCCCAGUUAACUACACUUCAUCAAGUAGUGCUAAUAAUGUAUACAAUUAUGCCUAAUUUUUAUAGUCUUUUAUUCAGUAGUGACAACUUCAAUCUAAAGUAAAAUCCUCCCUGACCCAGAUAAGUAUUGCUCAAUAAAAACAAACUUUGUGUAUAUAUUAACUUGUAGAAACAAAAUCCCUUAUCAUGUGCUUCUUGCCCCCUUAGUACAUAUUUUUCUAUCUUCUCUAAUAUAUAUAUAUCAUAUUCACCACAAUUCCUUGACCAUACACCAUAAUUCUUCUUCUUCUUCAAGACCCUCUUGCAAGCAAGUUUAUUUUGUGUCCUUUUUUUCAUGGCAACCCUCUUUUCUUUGUUGAUCUACAAUUAGAUGGAACAAACUAAAGAAGUGGAGAAUGGAGACUACAAUGAAAGCAAGAGGAUAAUAACAAAGCAAUACAUGAUGAUUUUGGUCUUCUCUUUGUUGAUAAGCAUGCUUGGAGGAUCUUUGCUUGGAUGGUGGCAUCACAAAUAUCAUUCAACAAAUAGGCAACUUUGGAUGGUACCCUUUGGCCUCAUUUUCUUUCUUACUCCACUCAUUAUUUGGUUCUCCCUUUUCAUUUCUCACUUGUUUAUUUCCAAGAGUGAUGAAGAGUUAGAGGAUGCUUCUAAUAUAAGUCAUCUUAUUCAAAUUCAUCCAAUGGAUGAGUCAAUUUGUCAUCCAAAGAGAUGAUCUUUGGCCUAAAAGCUAUUUUGUGCAUGUUAAGUAUUAUGGAAAUAGUUCAAACUAUAUAGAACUUGAAAGUAAGGUGUUAUAUAUCAUAUAUGAGUUAAAAAUUGUGUUAUAUAUAGAUAUAUAUUAUCAUCCCUGAUAAUUGCUUCUAGUAUUUUUUCUUCUUCUUUAAACAGUUCAAAAUACUUCUUAGUAGAUGCUGUAUAUUUGGUAAUGUAAGGUUCAAAAUAAUUGUUGUUCCCUUUGGCAUUUCUAGUCUAGGAGUAGUUUCUAUGGAUUAUCCACUUUUUUUUCAAGGA